rnacentral:rRNA from 1 species
AUACGGAGGGUGCAAGCGUUAUCCGGAAUCAUUGGGUUUAAAGGGUCCGUAGGCGGGCGAUUAAGUCAGAGGUGAAAUCCCACAGCUCAACUGUGGAACUGCCUUUGAUACUGGUUGUCUUGAGUUACAGUGAAGUAGAUAGAAUGUGUAGUGUAGCGGUGAAAUGCAUAGAUAUUACACAGAAUACCGAUUGCGAAGGCAGUCUACUAACUGUAUACUGACGCUAAUGGACGAAAGCGUGGGGAGCGAACAGGAUUAGAAACCCCUGUAGUCC